GUCCUGUAACUUUCCCUGGAUAGUCAGCACAAUUACAAUCACUGGGGGAAAGGAGCAAAGGGGCCUCUCUCUAAAGAUGUCCUUCCUCUUUAAAGUGCAUCCCUGCUGCUGUGGUUAUUUAAAGGAAGAACAUCCACUACAUACUCUGUAUGAGGACUGGAAGGGAGGUGUCAGGUCUACACUGUGGAUGCACUGGACAUGAGCUUGCUACUUCAGCCUUGGCACAAAACAAUUCCAGGUCAGAGUCCAGGCAGGGACCUGACUACAAAAGCUGACUCAAGGACCCUGAAACCAGGUGACCCAGAUAAGGCCCAGUCACCAAUGUUAACUUCCUUGCCUUUACCCUGGUAUCAAAAUAUGAUUGGACAAUGCAACAUCUCACCCAACUCCCCCUUGCUUUGUGUUCCCAUCCUACAAAAAUAUUGUGUUAUCUCUGUUUGGGGACAUAGUUCAGAUCCUGAACUGGUCGCCUCUCUGAGAGCUCAGAAAAUAAAGCUUUCAUUUUUUAGCUUCUGUCUGCAAAGUGAGUUUUCUUGGCUUACACCCUGAUCUCAACA